UGCCUUGGAGAUUAAACAUCACCCGAAAAUAAAGGAUAUCUUAUCUUUAUCCUGAUAAUGUGUUGGACUCCAGAUAUCUCAAGUCUUAUCAGUAUGGAGCGAGAAACUAUUGCAUCAGGAUGGGGGCCACUGAGAGCACGCCCGCGGAGAGCAAGCCGGAGAAAGUUAUUAUAUCGAUUGAGGAUCUCCGAAGGAAAAUUGAAAGUCUUCAGACCGAGAGAAAUAAUGCGCAGGUAA